UUGGAAAUUCUGGCAAUCGCUCCGGCUCUUUGCCGGAGAGGAAAGUCCAUGCUCACACGGACCUGCGAUGGCCGUAGUGAUCGCGCUUAGCGAAACAAUAAGCUAAGGCAGCUUAACAGCUGACGGCGGGUAGAACGCCUAAGUCUUCGGAUAUGGCCGAAAUACCCUGAAGGUGCCACAGUGACGGAGCUGCAUAAGAAAUUAUGCAGGUGGAACGAGGUAAACCCCGCGAGUGAGAAACCCAAAUUAUGGUAGGGGCACUUUUCUGAAGGAAUUGAACGGAUGAAGAGGCAAGCUUUUGGCAUGCAGAUAGAUGGUUGCCGUCCACUAGUACGAGGUGCAAGCCGUUUGAGUACGUGGAAACAAAACAUGGCUUAUAGAAUUUCUCUUGGC
rnacentral:RNase_P_RNA from 1 species